ensembl:lncRNA
CAAAAAGUUGACACAACAUUUUCUAAAAGUAAAUCUCAAGAGUCUACAAAGUUAAUCUGGAAGGCAUACAAAAAGUUCUCAGGAGUCCAUUCAAAAUCAAAAGAAAUGUCAAUACUUCCAAAAAGUAAUUCCCAUAGGUCCACAAAGUAAAUCCAUAAGGCAUUUAAAAAGUUCACAAAGAAAAGCUGUGACUCUGAGUGACUCCAAACAGUUUCAAAGAGCACAUAAAAAAAUAAAAGAAAUAAAAUAAAAGAAACUAUCAAAACAGAAACUAUACCACAUGCACAAAGUUGUUUAAGGAUAAAUCCAUUAAGCAGGGCAUGAGACUACCUAGACUUGGUCAUGGCACGGGAAACAUUGACCAAAGUACUCAGGAGAAUACACAACCAGAAACAAGGCACAGGUGACAACUAUUAGACAUAAUAAUGACAGAGACUGAAACCCAACAAAAAGGCAGUGGGGGCCUCAAGUGGCCUGAAGUAAGUCCACAACCCUGACAGUGUAUCUCUGUAUGUUGCAGGGUGUUCAUAGUAAUUGUGGUGGGACUGCUGGUUGCAUGACUGGUAAUCAGGCCCGUCGCAACAAGGCAAGCAAACCAAGCAAUUGCUUGGGGCCCCGAGCUGGCCUGGGGCCCCAAGACAACGACUGGUUAAGAAUAAAAUGCAACGACACUGUGUGAGCGCCCCUUUGAUCGUCAAUGCAGUAAAGUGCAAUGACACUGUUAUCGGGAUCCCCCUCAAGGGGGCCCCUCUCAGUAGUCGCUGACAGCAGCCAGCCAACCACGUGAUCUCUGCUGCCGGCAAAAUACAAAACCUCCUCGGCAGUCAUGAAGCGAAAUUAUGCUUCAGGAAGCCAGAUGAGAAAGAAGCGAAAGGAAGAGGAGGAUAAGAAAAAACAAGAUAGUGGUGCUUUGCUUAAAUUUCUCAGCCCUCAGGCUCUUCCUAAGGAUACCUCCACUGAUGAAGCUACACCAUCAACUUCAUCCUCAACAUCAACAGAUGCAUCACUUCUCAGUGCUGAUGUUUCCUCUAUACUGUAGCACAAGCUACACCGUCAAUACCAUCUCUCACAGUGGAAGACACUGCAUCCAGGUUUCCUCUACAGCUCAAGGUACCACAAGCACUGUCACUAUAGCUGAUGACCCUACGCAGUGGCCAGCAGUCCUGACUGAUAGUGUGUGCUGUCAAAUUGUUAAAAAAAAAAAAAAGGACCAGUGCAAGUCACAAACAUUGUUUUCCCCCAAAAUUCUGAGAAUCCACCUCGAAGAUUCACAAAUGACAAUUACAUGAGAAGCAUGAAUGUCAAUUGAGCAUUUAUGGCACUUAUGUCAAUUGAGUGUGAUGUUCGACAGUCUUUGGACAUGGAGGACAUUGUGAUUGCCUUUGCAGAAAACAAGGCUCGCAAACAGCAGUUUUAGAUAAUUUGCACAUGUUUGUGAGAACUGAAAAAUGUUAAUGUGAGUGUGUGUAUGUUGGAUUUAGUUAUUGUGCACUUUUUUUAAUGUAUAUUUGAUUUUAUGGUACAGUGGUGUUUUUUGCAAAUGUUCAAUUGUUGAAAAUGUUCAGUAUAUGCAACAGCAGUAUUUGCAGUGUAGGUUUUCGGGGGGGGCCUCCAUGUCCAUUUUGCUUGGGGCCCCCAAAUUCCUUCAAACGGCCCUGCUGGAAAUCAACACACGAAAGCGCCCAGAGCAGCUCAUCUCUUUUGGUGGUGUCUGUCUAUUCAUUAUUGCCAUAUUUCUCUUCUCUGCACACAGAACUGCAGUGAGUAAUAAAACACAAAUUUCUGCACA